AUGGCUCUUUUAAUAAUCUGCUGGAUUCUCUCAGGGUUGUCUUCAUCUGAAUGAACCCGAAAACUCUGCAAGUUUAAGCAUAAAGAAAGAUGACUAGGCAAAAUUCCCAGGACAGGCAGCUUCAGAGCACCAAUCACAGGCCAGGGACACUGCUGGGCACUUUAUACCCAGCAGCUCUCUUCAUCCUCCAUAGACUGUUAUGAUUAUCCCACACAGAGAUGAGGAAACAGAGGCUCACUUGCUGCUGAACAAUAGCAUUUGAAUCCUAGUCUAUGUGACUGCAAAGCAUGUACUCCUGCCACCAAGGUAGGUGCAAAAAGACUGGCCCCCAAGUUACUGCCAAAUCAAGCUAGGCCCAAAGGCUAUCAGGCAGUAGAGUCCAAGGGGAAACUUCCAUCUCUCUUCCUCAGAAGACGCUGCUUUCCCCAGGGUGAGAUCUCUGCAUAGGCUUUACAGCAGGGAGGAAGAAGUAGGACUUCUCUCGGCCCAGUGCUAGGAGAGCUACACAGGGAAGGGAGGGGAGGUAGUAGAUAGAGUGGCCUCAGGAAAUCCACCCAGGCCCAGUGCAGAGCAUGGGAUACUGUUUGCUUUUGACCAGAUAUUCAUCCUUGAGAAGCAACCUAAGAUUCAGGUUUUGCUUUUCAAAAAGAACUGGCACCAGGCAUGGUGGCUCAUGCCUGUAAUCACAGCACUUUGGGAGGCCGAGGCGGGCAGAUCACCUCAGGUCGGGAGCUGGAGACCAGCCUGACCAACAUGAUAAACCCCAUCUCUACUAAAAAUACAAAGUUAGUCGGGCGUGGUGGCACAUGCCUGUAAUCCCAGCUACUCGGGAGGCUAAGGGAGGAGAAUCGCUUGAACCCAGGAGGCAGAGGUUGUGGUGAGCUGAGAUUAAGCCAUUGCACUCCAGCCUGGGCAACAAGAGUGAAACUCCAUCUCAAAAAAAAAAAAAAAAAAAAAAAAAAAAGAACUGGCACCUCCCUCCCCUGUCACUCCCAGCCCCACACAUCCUCCUGCUCAUCUUUAGGAGCGCCCCCCGCUCAGCAUCCACCUCUGGCAUGCCCUCCUUGACUCCCCCAGACAGCUAACUGCUCGUUCUCCAUGUUUCCACAGCCCUCUGUGGCUACCGCCACCUCUGAUUUUUUUUUUUUUUUACUUUCCAUAUUAUAUGUGUAUGAAUUUUAGCUAACUUUCUAUUUGGAAAUGAUUUCUCACUUACAGAAAGUUGUGAUAAUAAUACAAAGAAUUUCCUACCAGAAUCACUGACUGUUAACAUUUUGCUACACUCGCUUUAUCAUUCUCUUUAUAUAAGUAUGUAUAAAUUUUUUCAGAAGCAUUUAAGAGUAAGUUGCAGACACGCUAUCCUUACCCCUAAACAUUCCCAUGUGUAGUUCCUAAUGACAAGGGCAUUCUCUGACAUAACCACAGUAAUCAAAUUCAGAAGACUCAACAUUGAUACAACUCUAUAAUCCAUAGCCCAUAUUCCAAUUUCAUGCACUGCCCCAGUAAUAUUCAUUUUUUUUUUUUGAGGCAGGGUCUCACUCUGUCACCCAGGUGAGAAUGCAGUGGCACAAUCACAGCUCAUUGCAGCCUCGACCUCCGGGCUCAAGCAAUCCUCCCACCUCAUUGUUUGAUUUUUCUGUAGAGACAAGGUCUUUCUAUGUUGCCCAGGUUGGUCUUGAACUCCUGAGCUCAAUCUGCCUGCCUUAGCUUCCCAAAAUGCUGGGAUUACAGACAUGAGCCACCAUGCCUGGUUCCCAAUAAUAUUCUUUACAGCAUUUUUUUUCUGGUCUAGGAUCAUACAUUACAUUUAGUCACCAUAUCUCUUGAGUUCUCUAAUCCAGAACAUCAAAAAUGUCAGCGUUGUGUUUCACGACACUGACAUUUUUGAUGAGUACAGGCCUAUUAGUUAUGUGGUAGAUGGCCUCUCGAUUUGGUUUUACCUGAUGUUUUCUCAGGAUUAAAUUCAAGUUGUGCACUGUUGGCAGGGAUGCCUGCCUAAAUGAUGUCGUGUCCCACAGUCUAUUUUAAUUACCCACUUAGCUGCCUCAUGCAUGCCCUAGCACAGCUGGUGUGCUGGGUGAGGCACCCUCUGUUUCCUGGACAGAGAGGAGCUGGGCUGCCCAGCACUGGUUUCCUGUGGCUCUUCCCACACUGCCACCUCACCACCAUCUCAGAGACUAGCUCUGUGCCCUGGCCUUGGCCUCUGACCUGCGCCCCUAAGCCUGCCAUUAGAGGCAGCCCCCAGACCUGGUAGAGCCAGCUCGCACCUGCCUGACAGCAUGCUUGUAAUGCUGCUGGAUGCCCUUGGUCGGCAGCUGCUGGCAACAGCGCAGCAAGUAUCGGUAGAGCUGCAGUGGCCUCCGAACCAGUUCUGCUCCUGGCAGCGGGGCCAUCCGUGAGACCCUCUGUCCCUGGAAAACAAGCAGGAUCACUUCCAGGGCAUCAAGCCAAGUUCAGUACUCAGCCCUGACCCCCAGUUCCCAGUACUCUGGGAAGCAAGCUUGGUGCAGUGCAGAGGCCCCUCCUGUCCCAUCCCAUGGAGCCUGCACCUUGGGGUGGGGUGGGCAUUCAGUUCAACAG
rnacentral:lncRNA from 10 species